UGGGGUGCUCGAGUGGCGAACGGGUGAGUAACACGUGAGUAACCUGCCCUUGACUUUGGGAUAACUUCAGGAAACUGGGGCUAAUACCGGAUAGGAGCUCCUGCUGCAUGGUGGGGGUUGGAAAGUUUCGGCGGUUGGGGAUGGACUCGCGGCUUAUCAGCUUGUUGGUGGGGUAGUGGCUUACCAAGGCUUUGACGGGUAGCCGGCCUGAGGGGGUGACCGGCCGCAUUGGGACUGAGAUACGGCCCAG
rnacentral:rRNA from 1 species